ACUAUAAUAUCAUUUGUAUUUUGUGUUAUUCACCGCUAACGUUAUUAUCCAAUUAUUGUUGGUACCUACAAACAUGGUCAAACAUAUUAUUAUUAAGCUAACUUUAUGUUUUAUGGUUUAUAUUAUUGGAAAUAUAGAUGCGGCAGGUGAAGAAGCUCGUAAAGCAAAAUUUUUACUUGCGGUCCAAUGCAAUAAGCAAUUGUUUGAAAACGGACUUAUAAAAGGAAUACCUGACUUGCAGAGAUCGCCUAAUAGUACAUUUAAAGUAGUAUUGACUCAAUUUUAUACAUCAUAUGGAAUCAAUACCAUAACAGCGACAAACAGAGAGAUUUUACCAACUAUUCACAAUUCCCAGUUUACAACAGAUGAAGGAGUUGAUAGUUUUAUAAGAGAAUUCGUAUUCGAUUUCCUUCAAAACGGUACAAAUGAUAUAUUUCAAGGCAAAAUUACUGCAUUAAAGGCGAAAGUGAGUAAUGGCCAACUAAAUGAUUAUCCACUGAAAACGUUUGUUAAUGGUUAUAAUCCUGGGAGUCAUAAAGAAUAUUUAAAAACAACAACAGGGUUUUGUAUAAAAUACAGCCAAUAUCCUAAUUUUAGGGGACCAGGUUGUUAAAAUUGAAACAAUAGUAGUGCAAAGUAGCACCUUGUAAGUUACAAUAUUUUUUAUGACAUAGGAGGGCUAUUUCGUCUGGAUAAACAUACAGCUUCAUAUUAUGAAUAUUGAACUAGUUAAAUUAUAUCGGCAUGUUACACUAAUAAAAAAAUUAUAUUAUUAUAUAACUUAACUACAUAAGAAUGAUCUAAAUGCAUUUAUAAUGAUACUAAAUAUAAAAUAGAGAAUAUAAUGUAA